rnacentral:rRNA from 1 species
GACGAACGCUGGCGGCGGGCUUAACACAUGCAAGUCGAACGGAAAGGCACCUUUGGGGGUACUCGAGGGGCGAAGGGGGGAGUAACGCGGGAGUAACCUGCCCUUGACUUCGGGAUAACGUGGGGAAAGUGGGGCUAAUACCGGAUAGGAAUCCUUGCUGCAUGGGGGGGGUUGGAAAGAUUCGGGGGGUUUGGGCGGGCUCGCGGCUUAACGGCUUGUUGGUGGGGUAGUGGCUUACAAAGGCUUGAACGGGUAGCCGGACUGUGGGGGGGAGCGGCCACACUGGGACCGAGAUACGGCCCAGACUCCGACGGGAGGCAGCAGGGGGGAAUAUUGCACCAUGCGUGCAGGCCUGAUGCAGCAACCCCGCGUGCUGUAUAACCGCUUUCUUGUUGUAAACCGCUUUCAGCAGGGGCGCAGCCUGUGGUGACGGUACCUGCAGAAGAAGCACCGGCUAACUACGUG